UUAAAUUUUUUAUAUUAUUUUAUUUUUUUUUGUUUUUAUUUUUUAAUAAAAUUAUUUUUGUAGAUUAAUUUGUCUUAGUAUUGUUAAGAAUUGAUUGUUUUUAUUAUAGUUUAUUAGUAAUGUAAAUGAAUUAAUAAUUUUAUUUUAGAUUUUAUAAAGUAGAUUUAAUUUUUCGUACCUUUUGUAUCAGGGUAUAUCAAAAUCUUGGUUAAUAUUAACUAAUCUCAAAUUAGGUUGAUUUACAAAUUAAUAAUAGUUAUUGUUUUAUAAAUAUUAUUAAUUAAUUUGUAGAAAUGAAAUGUUAUUCGUUUCCUAAAAUAUUUAGUUUCUUAAGAAAAAGUUUAAUUUUUUAUAACUAAUGUUAUUAUUUAAUUUUUUAAUUUUUAAUAUUGGUUUAUUUAUUAUUUAGGGGAUAAGCUCUAGAUUAAGAUUAUUCUAUAAUUUAUUGUUAGUUAAUAUAAUAAUAUGCUUAAAACCAGCAAUUUUUUGAUUACGUUUUAGUUCAUUUUUUAUAUAUUUGAUUUUAUAAUAAUUUUAGAUUUUUUAUUAAGAUUUUUAAUUUAAUUUUAAAGUUUUUGUAAUAAUGAUUUAAUUAGUAUAUUUAUUUUGUUUUAAUUUUUAUGUUUAAUAAUUUGUUAUAAGGAAUUAGGCAAAAUUAAUUUUCGCCUGUUUAUCAAAAACAUGUCUUCUAGAAUAUAUUUUGAAGUCUGACCUGCUCACUGAUGAAUUUAAAGAGCCGCGGUAUUUUGACCGUGCAAAGGUAGCAUAAUCAUUAGUUUCUUAAUUAGGGGCUGGAAUGAAUGGUUUGACGAAAAAUUAACUGUCUCUUAAUAAUUAAUUGAAUUUAACUUUUGAGUCAAAAGGCUUAAAUUUAUCUUUAGGACGAGAAGACCCUAUAGAGCUUGACAUCUAGUUUUAUAUAUAUUUUUAGUUUAUUUAUUUAUAUAAUUUAAAAUGUUUUGUUGGGGUGACAUGAAGAAUAAAUAAACUCUUCAUUAUUAAAUCAUUAAUUUAUGUUUAAGUGAUCCAUAAUUUAUGAUCAUAAGAUUAAGUUACCUUAGGGAUAACAGCGUAAUUGUUUUUGAGAGCUCAUAUUAACAAAGCAGAUUGCGACCUCGAUGUUGGAUUAAGAUAAAUUUUAGGUGAAGUAGCUUAAAAAUUAGGUCUGUUCGACCUUUAAAUUCUUACAUGAUCUGAGUUCAGACCGGCGUGAGCCAGGUCGGUUUCUAUCCAAAGAUUAAUUAAUUGUAUUAGUACGAAAGGACCAUAUAAUUAAAAUAUUUUUUAUAUAAUGAUUAAAAUUAAUUAUUU
rnacentral:rRNA from 1 species